AAUGAAAGUGGGAAAAACUCAGUCUGAGCAUCUCUGUAAAUCUAUAAACAUGUGUGCCCCCCUUUUUUUAAACCUUCAUGUAUAUACAUGUAUGUAUUUUAUUUAGUCAGUGAUUUCAAACAUCAACAUGUAAAAUAUAUAUUGAGUACUUUAAAAGUGAAUAUGUAUGAUUUGUUCACCCUGAAUAUUCUGACAUACUAAUGGUGACAUCAGUUAAAAGAGUAAUUAGUUAUGUAAAAUUCAGUUUAUAUGAAUGUAAAUGGGGUAUUUAUUCUCAGUUCAUGUAAGGUAUAAUUUGCAUGUAACCCAGAGUGUAUUUAAUAUUACUAUGAUGGGUCAUUCUGUGAUUGAAUUUAAAUCAGAAAAAAUGUUUACUAAAUUUUGGUAAAAUACAUAUGGUAUCUUUUACAUUUCUGUCCUGUUUGUCUGUCAAUUGUUGCUUUACUUCCUUUGUAAAAUGAGGUUAAUUUGUGCAUCACUGAAUAUUGUAUGCUUUUUUUCAGGAUCAGCUAAGAUGUUGUUUCACUGGAUUAUUUAAUUGGGCAUAUAAUUGGAUAAUUCUGUCCUCAACCUGGAAGAUAUGUUUUAUUCCUAACCAUCUAUAAUCCAUUCUCUAUGAAGUUCAGCCUGUCUGCCCAAAUUCCUUUGGAAAUACAUAGUUAGUCAACCAACAUAGAAACAAUCAAACUUGAAGUCCUCAACCUGGAAGAUAUGUUUUAUUCCUAACCAUCUAUAAUCCAUUCUCUAUGAAGUUCAGCCUGUCUGCCCAAAUUCCUUUGGAAAUACAUAGUUAGUCAACCAACAUAGAAACAAUAAAAC